UACGGUAGUCGCUGUAUCCGGUGCAGUUUCUGUGUAGAACUGUACGUGCAUGGAAAAACGGUCGUUAAGAGCAGGUGGUCGCUAAAGCCAGGGGUCGCUUACACCAGGUGUUACUGUACCUACAAAGGAGGCAAAACAGGUAAUUGUGUUAGGUGUACUUUGUGACCAGUGCAACAAACUGGAAACACACCGAGAUAA